rnacentral:rRNA from 1 species
CCUACGGCGGGCUGCAGUGGGGAAUAUUGGACAAUGGGCGAAAGCCUGAUCCAGCCAUGCCGCGUGUGUGAAGAAGGCCUUCGGGUUGUAAAGCACUUUCAGUGGGGAAGAAAGCCUUGGGGCUAAUACCCUCGAGGAAGGACAUCACCCACAGAAGAAGCACCGGCUAACUCCGUGCCAGCAGCCGCGGUAAUACGGAGGGUGCGAGCGUUAAUCGGAAUUACUGGGCGUAAAGCGCGCGUAGGCGGUCUGAUAAGCCGGUUGUGAAAGCCCCGGGCUCAACCUGGGAACGGCAUCCGGAACUGUCAGGCUAGAGUGCAGGAGAGGAAGGUAGAAUUCCCGGUGUAGCGGUGAAAUGCGUAGAGAUCGGGAGGAAUACCAGUGGCGAAGGCGGCCUUCUGGACUGACACUGACGCUGAGGUGCGAAAGCGUGGGUAGCAAACAGGAUUAGAUACCCUAGUAGUC